CCACCGCUUGCCGCGCCUUUGAUGUUCCCAAGAGAUAUUUUUUUCCCACUUCUCCCACUUCUGUAUCAUCUCAGUGCUGUGGAAUGGCGUCCUGCUUUGGUGCCUUACUCCGUCUCUGUUCCUGGGAGCAUCUUUUCCAAGCUGGCUUUAUGGUUUGCUCGGGAUUCUCGGGGCAGCACAGUUCGGGGGAGGGAAGCUGGCGCUGUCUGCAUUCUUAGUGCUGGUAUUUUCUGGCUUAUUGGGUGAGGUGUUAAGUUUAUUCAUUUUAUGCAGAUGUCCUAUUACAGUCAGCCAAGCACUAACGCUUUGCAUUUAUAUGUACUGUGCUAUGGGGGAAAGAACCUUAUGAUUAGAUAAGACACAUAUCAAAUGCAUAGUCAGUCAUCCCCAUCCUUGGAGUUGUAAUCCAAAACUGUUAAACUAAAAAUCUUUUUAGUAUAUCUUUAAAUACAUGCAUGUCAAGAACAUUCAAAAGUUCUUACAACAAUUCUGAUAGGACAUUUUCUCUCCCAUCAAUUAACACCAGUUAAUUAAGAUUAAUCUGUGGCCCAGUCUAUUUAAAUAAAUGCCAUAUUUAUUUUACUUGUUUAGAAUUUGCCAUUCUCAGAAACAAAACUCUUUGUACAUUGGAAAUGAAAAGCAUAUUGCAGUUUGGUGUUAAUUUCCAUGUGAAUGUCACGUAUAAUUUUAAAUAAAUUAUUUGAGGAAAAACGUAUUUUAUUUUUAGCAUGCAAUUUUAUGCCCAGGUUAGACUAGGGAUUUGGCUGAUGUUCUGGAAUCUCACUGUACUGUUAAGUAAUGAGCAUCUCCCAUGACGCACCCUGUCAGGGGUUGUGAGAAAACUGCAGUGUUCAGUUUCCCACCCAUUUCCUUUUCCUGCUGUCCCUCUCUCUCACUCAUCCCUGCUUCUUACUUUCCCUUUUCCUUCUUUGCCCAAACAUUACAUUUCCAGGCAAAGAUAAAAGAGGAAAUAGUGAUGUCCUGAAGCGGAUUCAGAACGAAGUAGCAUGGCCUUUGGUGAAAGCUUCACCUAUGGGAAAUAAAAUUGAGAAUGGUGCUGUGCUUGCAAUGUCAGAAUCAGUACUGUUUUUUUGUGUGUGUUGGUGAAAAUAUUCCAUAUGCCAAAAGGGAGAGCAUCAGGGAGUUGGCAAAUUCUUCACAAGGAUCCAGAAAUAGUUUAGAGUGGGAGAGUCAUGAUUUUCCCGUUGGCUUAGUUGAACAGCCGUAACCUUUCAUUUUCUACUACUGCUAAGUUAGGGGGAAUGACAUUGAACUACCUCAUUAGCAGCCUUGCCUGGACUAACUACUGAGUGUAAAAGUUUGCUGAAAAUAGCCUUCGUUUUUGUUGAAGCUCAUCCUACACACUAACAUUUGCUUACGCUAUUCAAGUACACUGCACCCAGUUUUGGUUCUUUGCCAGGAUUAAACCCACGAUAUUUUACAAUUUGCAUGUGAACCCCGAUGAAGUGUUUCUAGGAGAUGGCUGUCCUGUAACCUAUGUUUUGCCAAAUGUCUACUAUGAGUUUUUCUACCAUCCUCAUGACUGCGGUAUUGUAACUCAACCUCUCAGGGGAGUUCUUCUGCUUAAAACAAAAAUUAAGUAUAUCUCAAGAGACUCUGCUGUCCGAGCUGAAAUGCCUCUGUCGUGUGUGGUCCGCAAUCAGCAUCCUCUUUUAAAUGUAGUUGAAACGAGAGAUGGGGAAACUGGCAAUGUUGAUGAAUGGGAGAUAGAGGUGAAGAUACAGAUUGCGAGUGAAGACACGGCAGUAACUUCUGCAACACAAUCUUGUAAGAAUCUGACUGCUACACUCCCUUGUUCAUCAAAUGAGUACCUUUAUUGCAAGAGAAGAAACUGUGCUGUCCACUUUGAUACUGAAAGGCAAUUUGGAAUCUCUGCCAUGAUUGCUUAGGACUGAGGAUUUAAUGUGCUAUUUUGUGAAAAUCUGAGAAGCAGGAAGGGGAUUUAAUGAUCUCAACCGUUAUCCAUCUGAAAAACCUAACUUGUGAUUUUAAAUAAAAUGCAGGCUGCCUUCCACUAUUCCCCUUUUAAAAUAGGAACUGCCACUGCUUUUAACUUUAUGAAGUUUUAUUUAUGAAUAAAGUUUGUACUACUAUA